AAGACUCCUGUAGAUAAUCUGGAGGAGAAACAGUUAUGAUAAACCAUUAACUUAAGAUGAAGGUCCCUGUGAAUUUAUCUUGUUCUGAAAGCAGUGUCUUCUGCAAUGUUCUGCUGGGUCUCCGAAUGAGGGUGUCAUCCAGUGACAGAGCUGUCAUUGAACACCAAAUGAAUCUUACACUUUAUCUUGCUCCCAGAAUUAGUCCUGGACAUAUGGCUGUGAAUGCUUCUGGAAAGGAGGACUGAAUAACUGCAGAGAGGGAACCCUAAAAUAAGCUACCCUUGUUUCUUAAAAGCAAAUGUACCAAAUCCUGCUGUUUGAUUUAUGAUUUUGACUUAGAGCCAGUUCAAAGUUCUAUCAGCAAGCAGAUUGACAAAGCUGACUGUAUUAGCACAACUGCCGAACUAUAUUACUUUGCACAGUCAUGGGAUUUUUUUUUUUUUUUAAUAGCAUAUCUCACAUAUUUGUUAUUAAAACUAAUACAUAGUCUGCUAAUUAAUAAUGAUUAUAAAGAAUGGGUGGAUUAAUUCUGCUGAGAAAUACAUAGUAUUAAUAUUUGUGAGUGCGAGUAUGUAUGCACCUAUCUUUGUGUGUAUAUUUAUAUGUAGAUACAUACAUGUUUUACAUUUACGUACACAGUAACUGUGUAUAUUGAUCCUGCAUUUGUGAAUUGAAUAUUGGCUGGAAUGUUUUAUACCUCAGUGUACUGUUCUGCUCUUUUAAAGUACAAAUGGAGGGUGAUUAUAUAGAUAUUACCUACAUAUUAUGCUAGUAGCUCUAUCUACUAGCUACUGUAUGCGUACAUUUUCUGUAUGUCUAUAGUAUAUAUAGCAAAAUCUGUGAUCUAAUAAUGAUGAUUAGGAUGAAAAAAUAAAUGGAAAAGAGAUGCUU